rnacentral:rRNA from 1 species
UACGUGGGUGGCAAGCGUUGUCCGGAAUUAUUGGGCGUAAAGCGCGCGCAGGCGGUCCUUUAAGUCUGAUGUGAAAGCCCACGGCUCAACCGUGGAGGGUCAUUGGAAACUGGGGGACUUGAGUACAGAAGAGAAGAGUGGAAUUCCACGUGUAGCGGUGAAAUGCGUAGAGAUGUGGAGGAACACCAGUGGCGAAGGCGACUCUUUGGUCUGUAACUGACGCUGAGGCGCGAAAGCGUGGGGAGCAAACAGG